UACAGAGGUGCCAAGCGUUAGGCGGAAUCACUGGGCUUAAAGCGCGCGUAGGCGGUUGUUUAAGUGUCUUGUGAAAUCCCACGGCUCAACCGUGGAACUGCUGGGCAUACUGGACAUCUCGAGGCACUCAGGGGCGAGCGGAACAAGUGGUGGAGCGGUGAAAUGCGUAGAUAUCACUUGGAACGCCAAUGGUGAAGACAGCUCGCUGGGGGUGUCCUGACGCUGAGGCGCGAAAGCCAGGGGAGCGAACGGG
rnacentral:rRNA from 1 species